GCGGUAGCUAGACGUGCCUAACACAUGCAAAUCGAAUGAAAAGAAUUAAUUAUUGUUUUCAUGGUGAACGGGUGAGUAACACAUAAGAAUCAGCUUUUAGAUAAGGCAUAAAAGAGUAAUAUCUUGGUAAUUCCUUAUAUGCGCAGCAGUGCUUAAAAAGGGGAGUCCCGUCUAAAAACGAGCUUAUGCCUGAUUAGCUAGUUGGCGAGUUAAAAGCUCACCAAGGCGAAGAUCAGUAGCUGGCCUGAGAGGGCGGCCAGCCACAUUGGGACUGAGACACGGCCCAAACUCCUACGGGAGGCAGCAGUGGGGAAUCUUCUGCAAUGGGCGCAAGCCUGACAGAGCGGCGUCGUGUGGAGGAAGAAGGCCUGAAAUAGGUUGUAAACUUCUUUUACUGAAUAAUGAAUAAUGACAACGCAGUAAAAAAGUAUCGGCUAACUCCGUGCCAGCAGCCGCGGUAAUACGGGGGAUGCAAGCGUUAUCCGGAAUCACUGGGCGUAAAGCGUCUGUAGGUGGUUUAGUGUGUUCUUAGUUAAAUUCUGAAGCCUAACUUCAUGAAAAGUAAGAAAACUAUUAGACUUGAGUACGAUAGGGGUAAGAGGAAUUCUUCGAGAAGUAGUGAAAUGCGAAGAUACGAAGGAGAAGAUCAUAAGCGAAGGCUUCUUACUGGGUCGUAACUGACACUGAGAGACGAAAGCUAGGGGAGCGAAUGGGAUUAGAUACCCCAGUAGUCCUAGCUGUAAACGAUGGAUAUUCGGUGCCGGAAAUUUUAUUAGAACAUUUCGGUACCCUAGCUAACGCGUUAAAUAUCCCGCCUGAGGAGUACGCUCGCAAGGGUGAACUCAAUGAUUGACGGAAGGGC
rnacentral:rRNA from 1 species